rnacentral:rRNA from 1 species
GACGAACGCUGGCGGCGUGCCUAAUACAUGCAAGUAGAACGCAGAGGGAGGAGCUUGCUUCUCCGGAUGAGUUGCGAACGGGUGAGUAACGCGUAGGUAACCUGCCUGUUAGCGGGGGAUAACUCUUGGAAACGAUGGCUAAUACCGCAUAGGAGUAGAUGUCGCAUGACGUUUGCUUAAAAGGUUCAACUGUUCCGCUACCAGUCGGAGCUUCGUUGUUUUAGAUAGUGGGUGUGGUAACGCGUGACCAAGACGAGGAGACAUAGUCGACCUGAGAGGGGGAUCGCCCACACGGGAACGUGACCAGGGACCAGACUCCUGCGGGAGGCAGCAGUAGGGAAUGUGCGGCAGUGGACGGAAGUCUGACCGAGUAACGCCGCGUGAGUGAAGAAGGUGUUGGGAUCGGAAAGCUCUGUUUUAAGGGAAGAACGGGUGUGGGAGUUGAAGGAGCGUGCGUGACGGGAAUCGGUCAAGAAGCACCGGCCAACUUCGUG